GCGGCGUGGGAGGACGGCUAACGUUGCCACAGGAGGCUCUGGGAGAGCGGGGAAAUGUCCUAGCUGAGGUUGACUGCACCACCUCGGCGCGGCGCGACCCCGUCGCUGUGGAUAGGGCCCUUCCUCCCAGCAACCGUGUGUGGCGGCCGGGGACGGUGCUGCUGGUCUGCGCUGAGAGCCUUGGACACACCGGGCUACGUCUUGCAGAAAUAUGCUGCAGAUCUGAACUUGAAUCAAAUGACUUCACUGGCUAUAAUCCGUAAUGCUCCAAGAAUUAACCAACUAAACAGGAAUUUACAAAUAAAACCUAAGAACUCUGGUGAAGCCUGGGAACUUGGAGGAGAAAUGGGACCAUAUGAGCAUUUUCAGAAGUGUCCUUGAGAUGACGUCUCCUGACCAUUCAGACUAUACAGAGCUUAGUGCUCCCCUCUGGGUGCCCUGAAAACACCACCUCCGAACUCACAAGAGGAUUGCUUGGGAGUGCCAGGCUCUGAGAGUGACCCUGCAUGUGCACUUUGUACGAACUGUAUCCUUUCACCUCCAUUAGGCGAGGGUUCGCUCUGCUGCAUGAAAUUCCCAGAGCAGCAUGGCAUGACUGACCAGCUUUCACAUAGCACCUUGGAGCACCACCUUCCCUUUGAGAUGGAUUUACAGCACAGGCAGGAUGCACAGCUCUCACAUUACCACAUGCAUGUUUGAGAAAAAUCUUAAAAAAACAAAAACACUUUUGGCUUGCAUCAAACAAAAGCCUUGAUAUGUAUACCUACAAUAAAACUCAGGGACAGUUCACCGCAUAUGUUUCAGAUGUUCUUAUAUAUAUUUUUUGCAGAGGGAAUUAUGAAAGGGAAAUAUCACCCCAAAGUGUAUUUUGCAAUGUUUCGAAGAGAAAAACGAAUGAUAUGCUAUUUUACUGUGAAUUUACUAUUCAGUAUUUCAAUGGAUCAUUCAAACAGAAAAGAAAAGAGUGCUGCAAAUAAAUUAAAUUUUCAUCCUGAUCUGCACUAUUGUUGUCAGCACAGAUUAGUAAACUGUGAAAUAAGAAAAGAACAUGAAGACCCUGUUUGCACUUAGUUGCAAAUAAACUGCAGAAUAUGGUAUCGCUAGUUGACAUUUCAAUUGUGAAAGUUUCUCAUUUCCUGCAAGCUUAGGCAAAUGAGGGAUUUAAGCUAUAUUUUAUUUUUAAGGCUACAUUUUCUGGCAGUCAGCUGUUUCAGAUUGACAAUAAAAUUCCUAAUGGUAGUUCUCUGUUUUUCUUUUGGGAAGUUGCUUUGGCAGUUUUUAUCAGCUCAGUAAUUGUUCUUCUGCUACUCACUGGAGUUGAAGCCUACACUUUCAGUAAGGUAUAGCAAAAGGAUGUUGCCUUUGUGUCUUCCAUGGUACUCAUCUCAGCCUAUAAGACCCAAAAGUUUGUUACCAUCUUUUACUUUUUAUUGUCUUUCCACAUUCUUAAUUUUUCAUCAUCUGUAUAUUUGUGCUACUAUAUCAGCUAUUUUUAUAUGGCUUUUCAGAAAUUGGAGGUGCUUUAAUUCAUUGCCUGAUCUUUUAUAAUUAUUUCUCUCAUUGGAUAAACAUACCUUAUGGCAGGUCUGGUCUCCAAAUAUAUCCCAUUCAUGGAAUGCAUUUGAGCCAUACCCAGUGACUUUGUUCUCAUCAAACUUGUGUAAGCACAAACUGACAGAGAAGGAAAAUUAUUCAAAAAAAGCUAUCACUUUACAAGUACUUUUUCAUUCACAUCCUUCCUACAAUAUGGAUUUUUCUCGCGAAGUCUUUUCUGAUACUUUACCAAAGAAAAAAGAAUAACCAAACCACUUGAGAUGACAUGUUUUUAACCAACUGGGAUGAAAAGCUGAUCUCACAGGCUUCAAAUGGCAUUCUCCCCAUCACUUUUGAUGGGUCUACCUGAAUGUGCUCCAAGCUAUUGUUUAUAAUCUGUGAUGGGGAGUGCAAACUCCCUGGAGUAGAGGCAGUACGCCUAUAGUACUGAGAGCUUUGGUAGUGCUUGAUAAUAGUGUAUGUUGUGCUAAUUUUUCUCAUGGUUUUAAAUGCUGUUUCUUAAUUGAUAUUUUAUGGUAGAGGUGUUGUUAGCAGCUAAGUGAGAAUUUAUGAGUCAUGAAAAAAUAAGUGGCAGACGUCUGCUAUCAAUUUCCAUUCUGUUCUUCUAGACAUUAAUAAUAAUUGCCUAUAGGGACCAGAAAGGCUGUAAUUCUCAUUAUAAUAAAGAUUUUUGAUGUAGGUGGGCUUAAUCAGACAAAUAACUUCACUGGCAUUAAGAGAAUUACCAAUGUGAACAAGAGUCUGUGGAAUUAAGGUAAUAACUGAACUCACAGUUCUUAAACCGUACGAAGAGGGAUGGCUGGCGUUGUGGUUGCCCUUGUGCAUGUCAAGUUCAGAUCACAUUGCACUGGUUCCAGGAUACCAAGAGUGUUAUCUGCAAGCAUAUUAUCUCGCAAUAGCACAAAAAGUAUUUAUGGCGUAUAGAGCAGGGACUUCUAAAUUCCUUUUUAAUAAGGGUCUUCAUGUUACUGCAUGAUUCAUGACUGCUGCUUAUGGACUGUUCCCUGAAAAAUAGCAUGUACUAUUGCUAUACUAUUGCGUCUUUAUUGCUGAUAGAAUCAGGCAACGCUAAGAGAAGCUUUUUUGGUUUUUUUGUCAGACCAUAAAAAUGAAGUGUUAAUUCCGGCUUUAACAAUAUCUAAUUAGUAACAGUUCCUAUACACAAAGUUCCCUUAUUUUGAUUAGCUUGAGUUACCCUGCAUUUUUUAUAAAGUGUUCCGCAAAAUGACUUUUUUUAUCAUUUCUUUUGAACUUCAUUAUCUUUUUGAUGACACAGUAAUUUUUGUUUCUAUUUUUUAUCUCCUUUUAGCCAGCUUUCUCACUUUGUGCUUUCUCUACAGCAAUGCAUGCUUUUACCCAUUUAUUUUGACAACUUUUAAUGGAAAUAUACUUUUUCAGAAGCACAUCCUACUACUUUUAGAGUUGUAUUUGCCUUUUUAAAAGCUAGUGGCCCCCUCCAGUACCCAUUAAAACUAAUGAAACUGGGAUUUAGCUAAAACUCUAGAAGGUGGACAGAAUAGCAAGAAACUAAAAAUGGUAAUGCAGAUAGUUUGUAGCCGUGUAUUGAAAACAGCUAGCUUUGAUAAUCUUUGCAAUUUGUGCUAGGGAGUAGCACUCCUCUCUGUGAGUCAAAGAAAGACUUUAGGUACCGUAAAGACUGGCUUGCUGUUAGAAGUACAUUUUUAUCGUCUAGCUGAAAAAUACAGCAGGGAGCUCAAGCAGUUUGUAAGACAAGCACCUUGGUGAAACUUGCUUAUAAGAUUUCUAUCUUCCUGUGAAACAAUUCAGUAAGCUUUUCCGAGAGUUUUUUGCUGAGUUUAUACUCAUGGCUUUAUGCUUCUCAAAAUUGGAGGGAGGUAUUACUGUAUCUUUUUUUGGAUUCUCAAAGUCUGCUAUGAAAAAGUUGUUUAAAAUUAUUUACUGUGGGCACAGUAAGAUUGCAUUUACCGGCUUUCCUUAAAAACAUUACAACAUAAAGGCCAUUUCAUUUUUAAACAAAUAAUAUUUAACUUCUUUACAUGACAGCUUUUCAAUUAAUGGAAAACCUGAAUUCCUUUUCAGUUAGCUUAAGGGACUAAAUCAAGUGCAAACUCUCACCAACAAAAUCAUUACUUGCAUUCAUUCUUAAUCCAUGCCAGUAUAGCACUGCAGUUCCUUCACAUUUUUUUCCCAGUCUGCGUCAUUAUUUGCAAAUCACUAAGUGAUGGGACCUGCAGACAAAACAGCUGUAAGAACCAAAAAUCUGUUUUUGAUUGUAGUCAUAAACA